rnacentral:rRNA from 1 species
GAUGAACGCUGGCGGCGUGCCUAACACAUGCAAGUCGAACGAACAGGCGCGGCGCUUGUUGGGUGCUCGUUAGGGGCAGACGGGUGAGUAACACGAGGAUAACCCCCCUAUAAUUCGGGUAAAACUACGGAAAAGGGGCGAAAACACCGGAUGAGAUCUUGCACCGUAGGGGGCGAUGGAGAAAUUCGGCGGUGGGGGCUGGACUCGCGGGUUAUGCGCCUGUUUGUGGGGUAGGGGCUUACAAGGGCUUUGAAGGGUAGCCGGCCUGAGAGGGUGGCCGGCCACCUUGGGACUGCGAUACGCCCCAGACUCCUACGUGCGGCAGCAGUGGGGAAUAUUGCACAGUGGGCGGAAGCGUGAUGCAGCAACGCCGCGUGCGUGAUGACGGCUUUCUGGUUGUAAACCGCUUUCGAAUGUGGCGAAGCGGGAGUGACGGUAAUGGGUAAAGAAGCACCGGCUAACUACGUG